GACGAACGCUGGCGGCGUGCUUAACACAUGCAAGUCGAACGAUGAAACCUAGCUUGCUAGGUCGAUUGGUGGCGAACGGGUGAGUAACACGUGACUAACCUGCCCCUUUCUCUGGGAUAACGCUCCGAAAGGAGUGCCAAUACCGGAUACUCACACCGAGGCACAUGCCUUGGUGUGGAAAGUUUUUCGGAAAGGGAUGGAGUCGCGGCCUAUCAGCUUGUUGGUGAGGUAACGGCUCACCAAGGCGACGACGGGUAGCCGGCCUGAGAGGGCGACCGGCCACACUGGGACUGAGACACGGCCCAGACUCCUACGGGAGGCAGCAGUGGGGAAUAUUGCACAAUGGGCGCAAGCCUGAUGCAGCGACGCCGCGUGAGGGAUGAAGGUCUUCGGAUUGUAAACCUCUUUCAGUAGGGACGAAGCGAAAGUGACGGUACCUAAAGAAGAAGCACCGGCUAACUACGUGCCAGCAGCCGCAGUAA
rnacentral:rRNA from 1 species